rnacentral:rRNA from 1 species
CAUUAAGACUCUCGGCAACGGAUAUCUCGGCUCUUGCAUCGAUGAAGAACGCAGCGAAAUGCGAUACUUGGUGUGAAUUGCAGAAUCCCGUGAACCAUCGAGUCUUUGAACGCAAGUUGCGCCCGAGGCCUUCGGGUCGAGGGCACGCCUGCCUGGGCGUCACGC